rnacentral:lncRNA from 1 species
UGAUAUAUAGCAGCUACUUAGGGUAAUAUAUCAUUUUGAAAAACCCUAGCCGCUCUUAGAGAGAGACUAGAGAGAAAACAGUUUCAAAAUCCAUUCCUUUUGGUGGCUAGUACCGCAAGUCCUUCUUAUUGCAGAAUCGUUCGACGGUUCGUGCGGCGUUCGUGUGGAUACCGUAGAGGCGCAAUCGGUUUGUAUUGCAUUGGAGAUUCGAGGCGCA